GACGUAGGGUGCGAGCGUUUGUCCGGAUUUAUUGGGCGUAAAGAGCUCGUAGGCGGCUCGUCGCGUCGACCGUGAAAACCCGCGGCUUAACUGUGGGCUUGCGGUCGAUACGGGCAUCACUGGAGUUCGGCAGGGGAGACUGGAAUUCCUGGUGUAGCGGUGAAAUGCGCAGAUAUCAGGAGGAACACCGGUGGCGAAGGCGGGUCUCUGGGCCGAUACUGACGCUGAGGAGCGAAAGCGUGGGGGAGCGAACAGG
rnacentral:rRNA from 1 species